GUACUUUUUUGACAGAAAUCAAUAAAGGCUUCUAAAAAGUGAAAAAGUGGUUCACCCGGGGCGAGGCUCAGCCAUUGCAUUCCGGUUGUGCUGACCCCUGCGAAUUCCCCAAAUGUGGGAUUCUCGACUGCAUAAUUUGUGGUAGUGUGUGUGUGUGUGUGUGUGUGUGUGUG
rnacentral:snRNA from 1 species